rnacentral:tRNA from 1 species
UGGGAUGUAGUGCAAUCGGGGAGCGCACCGGCUUUGGGAGCCGGGAGUUGCAGGUUCAAAUCCUGUCAUCCCAACCA